rnacentral:rRNA from 1 species
CCUACGGGCGGCAGCAGUGGGGAAUAUUGGACAAUGGGGGCAACCCUGAUCCAGCCAUGCCGCGUGUGUGAAGAAGGCCCUCGGGUUGUAAAGCACUUUCAGUGAGGAAGAACGCCUGGUGGUUAAUACCCAUCAGGAAAGACAUCACUCACAGAAGAAGCACCGGCUAACUCCGUGCCAGCAGCCGCGGUAAUACGGAGGGUGCGAGCGUUAAUCGGAAUUACUGGGCGUAAAGCGCGCGUAGGUGGCUUGAUAAGCCGGUUGUGAAAGCCCCGGGCUCAACCUGGGAACGGCAUCCGGAACUGUCAAGCUAGAGUGCAGGAGAGGAAGGUAGAGUUGCCGGUGUAGCGGUGAAAUGCGUAGAGAUCGGGAGGAAUACCAGUGGCGAAGGCGGCCUUCUGGACUGACACUGACACUGAGGUGCGAAAGCGUGGGUAGCAAACAGGAUUAGAUACCCGGGUAGUC